rnacentral:rRNA from 1 species
GAUGAACGCUGGCGGUGUGCCUAAUACAUGCAAGUCGAGCGAACAGACGAGGAGCUUUCUCCUCUGACGUUAGCGGCGGACGGGUGAGUAACACGUGGAUAACCUACCUAUAAGACUGGGAUAACUUCGGGAAACCGGAGCUAAUACCGGAUAACAUGUUGAACCGCAUGGUUCAACAGCGAAAGACGGUCUUGCUGUCACUUAUAGAUGGAUCCGCGUCGCAUUAGCUAGUUGGUAAGGUAACGGCUUACCAAGGCAACGAUGCGUAGCCGACCUGAGAGGGUGAUCGGCCACACUGGAACUGAGACACGGUCCAGACUCCUACGGGAGGCAGCAGUAGGGAAUCUUCCGCAAUGGGCGAAAGCCUGACGGAGCAACGCCGCGUGAGUGAAGAAGGUCUUCGGAUCGUAAAACUCUGUUAUUAGGGAAGAACAAAUGUGUAAGUAACUAUGCACGUCUUGACGGUACCUAAUCAGAAAGCCACGGCUAACUACGUG